rnacentral:rRNA from 1 species
AGUUUGAUCCUGGCUCAGAUUGAACGCUGGCGGCAGGCCCAACACAUGCAAGUCGAGCGGUAGAGAGGAGCUUGCUCCUCUUGAGAGCGGCGGACGGGUGAGUAAUGCCUAGGAAUCUGUCUGGUAGUGGGGGAUAACGUCCGGAAACGGACGCUAAUACCGCAUACGUCCUACGGGAGAAAGCAGGGGACCUUCGGGCCUUGCGCUAUCAGAUGAGCCUAGGUCGGAUUAGCUAGUUGGUGAGGUAAUGGCUCACCAAGGCGACGAUCCGUAACUGGUCUGAGAGGAUGAUCAGUCACACUAGAACUGAGACACGGUCCAGACUCCUACGGGAGGCAGCAGUGGGGAAUAUUGGACAAUGGGCGAAAGCCUGAUCCAGCCAUGCCGCGUGUGUGAAGAAGGUCUUCGGAUUGUAAAGCACUUUAAGUUGGGAGGAAGGGCAGUAAAUUAAUACUUUGCUGUUUUGACGUUACCGACAGAAUAAGCACCGGCUAACUCUGUGCCAGCAGCCGCGGUAAUACAGAGGGUGCAAGCGUUAAUCGGAAUUACUGGGCGUAAAGCGCGCGUAGGUGGUUUGUUAAGUUGGAUGUGAAAUCCCCGGGCUCAACCUGGGAACUGCAUUCAAAACUGACUGACUAGAGUAUGGUAGAGGGUGGUGGAAUUUCCUGUGUAGCGGUGAAAUGCGUAGAUAUAGGAAGGAACACCAGUGGCGAAGGCGACCACCUGGACUAAUACUGACACUGGGGUGCGAAAGCGUGGGGAGCAAACAGGAUUAGAUACCCUGGUAGUCCACGCCGUAAACGAUGUCAACUAGCCGUUGGAAGCCUUGAGCUUUUAGUGGCGCAGCUAACGCAUUAAGUUGACCGCCUGGGGAGUACGGCCGCAAGGUUAAAACUCAAAUGAAUUGACGGGGGCCCGCACAAGCGGUGGAGUAUGUGGUUUAAUUCGAAGCAACGCGAAGAACCUUACCAGGCCUUGACAUCCAAUGAACUUUCUAGAGAUAGAUUGGUGCCUUCGGGAACAUUGAGACAGGUGCUGCAUGGCUGUCGUCAGCUCGUGUCGUGAGAUGUUGGGUUAAGUCCCGUAACGAGCGCAACCCUUGUCCUUAGUUACCAGCACGUCAUGGUGGGCACUCUAAGGAGACUGCCGGUGACAAACCGGAGGAAGGUGGGGAUGACGUCAAGUCAUCAUGGCCCUUACGGCCUGGGCUACACACGUGCUACAAUGGUCGGUACAGAGGGUUGCCAAGCCGCGAGGUGGAGCUAAUCCCACAAAACCGAUCGUAGUCCGGAUCGCAGUCUGCAACUCGACUGCGUGAAGUCGGAAUCGCUAGUAAUCGCGAAUCAGAAUGUCGCGGUGAAUACGUUCCCGGGCCUUGUACUCACCGCCCGUC